rnacentral:lncRNA from 1 species
GCAUGAAACCACGUCUCAUAUAGAAUGCUAAAUGCAACUAUGGGCCUAACAAGCUACUCUCUACUACAUAGAGGUCCAAAAUUUCGUCAUAUAUAACAUAGGCCUUUUAAGCAUUCUAAAAUUCACAAUAAAUACAUAUAACAAGAAUAUGCAUGCUUUUUCAUUUAACGAUACUUAAUUAAGCACAUAUGAGGAUUUCUCAUUGUGUGGCUAGGUCAAACCCACCGAACCGUCGCGUAGGGUCUCGCUUUGCCGAACAAAGUUGUCCCCGAGUCUCAAAAUACCCUAAAAGUGAUCAGCGAAGAGAUACGAGGGCAUUACGACCAUCAUACAAUAUCAAACAUUAACCUAGAAGCAAAAAGGGCCAAAAUUUACCUCAAGAGUAGAAAUCUCUUCCAAAGCUCCAAAAGAGAGCUAGAACCCUUCCAAUCCAAGCCCAAGGAAGGUUCUAAUCCAAUCAAUCUAGCCUCAAAAGCCCUAGAUCAAAAAGCCCCAAAAAUCAACCCUAAUACCCAUUCUAGGGUUCCAAAUAGUAAAACCUACCAAAUCAAGGGUUCAAGGGUAGAAUCCAAGUACUAACCUCCCAAGGUGCCUCCAAACAAGCUCCAAAUCUUCUAGGGUUGAACCGGUCUCUCACUGCGAAGACACGCUCGGGGACCGGUCUCGCCUGCCAGGGACCGGUUGCCUCAGGCUGCCUCAACACUGCUCACUGAGGGACCAGUCUCUGCUUCCAGGGACCGGUCCCCGAGAGUAAAAACUCUCAGGACUUACCCAGAAUUCCGAUUUUCGAACUUUUUAGGUCGGAAAACAUUCUACAACCCUCCACCAAGUGUGGAAAAGCUCGAAAUACAUCCAAACACUCGAACCUCGCAAUUUGCAAAGGUCCAAUGUGUUAAAGCCUCUAGGGAGCACAAAGCUCCCAUUUCCUAAACCAAAAUCCAAACCCUAGGCUCAUUUCUACCAAAAACUCACCUUAGCCCUAGCUCCUCCAAGUCCUUCUUGUAGGAGAGCUUGUAGAACCCUCCAAAGCCUCCAAAUCCUCCUCCUCUUCACUUCUUCUUCUUCUUCUCCAAGCCCUAGAGCAAGAGUUCUAGAGAGAGAAAGAGGAGAAAUGGGAGAGAAAGGUGAAAAUGGCUGUGGGAGAGAGGGGUGAGUCAUAUAUAGUGUUGUAACAAUUGCACUUAGGCCCCUCCACUUGUUUCCUCUUGAACUGCCCAGACUGGGCAUUUUUCGCCUUCGGGGACCGAUCUCCCCGACCAGGGACCGGUUCCUGAACGGGGGUUCUCCAGGACUUAGUCAAAUUUUCGAGUCUCUCAGCUGUUGCGCAGCGAGGGACCGGUCUUCCCGUCAGGGACCGGUCUCCCGAGGACCGGUCUCACCACCAGGGACCGGUUGCCUCAGGACUUCCUGGCAGGCUACGCGUACGGGGACCGGUCUCUCCUUCAGGGACCGGUCCCCGAGAGCACAAAAUCUGGGACUUAGCCAGAUUUUCAGAUUACUCUCUCGGGUCCCUUCUAGCUUCACUUAUGGACUCUAAUGUGCUUAGGGUCCACACAAACUCGUUCAAUUCCGCGUUCCGCUCAUUUUGACGGAACUCGGCACGAUUUACGAGGGAUGUGGUAUGUUACAC